rnacentral:rRNA from 1 species
UGAAAUGCUUAGAUAUUACACAGAACACCGAUUGCGAAGGCAGCUUACGAAACUAUGAUUGACGCUUGAGGCACGAAAGCGUGGGGAGCGAACAGGAUUAGAUACCCUGGUAGUCCACGCUGUAAACUAUGAUCACUGGUUGUUGGCAAUAUACCGUCAGCGACUGAGCGAAAGCAUUAAGUGAUCCACCUGGGGAGUACGUCGGCAACGAUGAAACUCAAAGGAAUUGACGGGGGCCCGCACAAGCGGAGGAACAUGUGGUUUAAUUCGAUGAUACGCGAGGAACCUUACCUGGGCUUAAAUGUAGAGUGCAUAGAGUGGAAACAUUCUUUUCCUUCGGGACUCUUUACAAGGUGCUGCAUGGUUGUCGUCAGCUCGUGCCGUGAGGUGUCGGGUUAAGUCCCAUAACGAGCGCAACCCUUGUCGUUAGUUGCUAGCAGGUCAAGCUGAGGACUCUAACGAGACUGCCGGUGUAAACCGAGAGGAAGGUGGGGAUGACGUCAAAUCAGCACGGCCCUUAUGUCCAGGGCUACACACGUGUUACAAUGGCCAGUACAAGGAGCAGCCACCUGGCAACAGGGCGCUAAUCUCANAAGCUGGUCACAGUUCGGAUCGGAGUCUGCAACUCGACUUCGUGAAGGUGGAUUCGC